GGGGAGGUACAGAGAGAGAGGACGACAGAGGAUCCAAAGUAGGCUCUGUGCUGAUAGCAGACAGCCUGACACGGAGAGGGCUGGAAGUCACAAACCGCAAGAUCAUGACCUCAGCCGAAGUUGGAUGCUUAACUGACUGAGCCACCCAGGCACCGUGGGGGUUAGGAUUUCGGUAUAUGAACUUGAAGGGACAUAAGCAUUCAAUCCAUAGCAACUUCCCUCUGGAUAAUUGUGAGGCUUGGACUGGUGCCUGGCACAGAGUAAGGGCUCAAAUGUUAGCUUUUAUUAUUUACCAGCAAGAAUCAAGUUUCAAAAAUGAGUUAUGCAAAAUCAGAAUGUAUAGCACUGCAGCCAAACUGUCAAAUAUUUUGGGCCACUGCUGCCUUUAAAAGAAACCACGUGGUGGAAUCUUAAGGAAUAUUAAGUGCCAUGCUCUUGCCAGUCUUUGUAUUUGCCAAGAACAGUUAUUCAGCUUUGGUUUUACUUAAUCUUUAAAACCCACUAUAAUUCUCCCAAAUGCUCGUUUUUUUUCUCUCUAAUUUCUCCAGACAUCUUCAGGGUAACUGGCUAUAUUAACUGAUAAUUAAAUGGGGCAGUAAAGAGGUUAGGCAUUUUUGAUAUGUCCUGGAAGGACCUCUGUAAGGCAGGUUUGGGUGAUGUUCUAUUUGUGUGUUCAAAUUGGUUAAGAUUUGAUAUUUGUGUAAUUAUAUAAACUUUUGGAGAGUAGGGACCAUUCCCUAAAGAGCUUCACGUCCCCACAGUUUAGCAGGACACAGUACCCGGUAAAAAGAAUGAAAAUAUAAGUGAUCUAAGAGUCUGUGGAAUGUAAAUCAUCAAAGAGAUACCAUAUCUGGUAGCUUGGGUAUGAAACACCCAGUAAUGUACAAAAGACUUAGCAAGCGAUUCAGCUUAACAGUAAGAGUAGUGACUAAUUUAUGUUUCAUUUUGACACUGACAUAGGAAGAAAUGAACAACUCAAAAUGAGAUGACCAGCUUUCUCUUUCAUGGAACAAAUGCAUUUAACCCGGCUGAAAUCCACAGGCCAUCAAAAUUUGGAGGACUAAUGUCAACAUCCUCAUGGAAGAAUCAGAAUGCUACAAUAAUGUUACUAGGAAGAAAGCAAUGGAGAGGUUGGAAAAUACAUUAUUGUGGGUUUCUGUUAUGUGCCAAAGAACUCCUUUAAAACAAUGCUUCAUGUGAGGGGCUAAUAGACAAAAUCAUCAGAAGUUAGAAAGUACUUGGUCACAUUUAUCAGAGGAGACCUACAAGUCUCCUUUAACUAUCUGCUACCCCCCCCCCCCUGGUUUCUGGCCUUUAAAUUUACAAUUCUUUUAGAAAUGGCACCUCAUGGUAGACUCAUUUAAAAACAAACAUCUCUUCCAGUACCUUCUCAUAUGGUUGCUUCUUCAGGCUUCGACUUUAUUAGAUGUUGCCAAAUUGCUUUCCAAAGUGGAAAUUUAGAUCAAGUACCAAUUUACACAUUUAUGACAGGACAUCAGAAUUGAAGUUGCUCCAUUUUCAACAUCUAGUAUUGUUAGAUUUAAAAAUUUUUGCUGGUCUAGAAGUGUGAAAUGGUAAUGGUUUAAAUUUUCAUUUACCUGAUGACUAAUGAGGUUGAGCACAUUUUUAUAACUUAAUUGGCUAGCCAGUGUUCCUCUUUGGAAAAAUGCCUAUCUUCUGUCCUUUGGGCUUUUAUUUUCUUGUUGAUCUAUUGUGUUUACAUGUUGAGGAUAAUAAUCCUGUGUUGCUUAUGUUUAUUUAUUUUUGAGAAAGAGAGAGAGAGACAGACAGACAGACAGAGCAUGAGUGGGGGAGGGGCAGAGAGAGAGGGAGACACAGAAUCCGAAGCAGGCUCCAGGCUCUGAGCUGUCAGCACAGAGCCUGAAACAGCGCUCGAACUCAUGAGCCAUGAGAUCAUGACCCGAAGUCAGAUGCUUAACUGACUGAGCCACCCAGGUGCCCUAAUCCUGUGUUGCUUAUAUAUUGUUAGGAGUAUCUAUUCCCAGUCUACUCUUGAGAAAUCUUUCUAAGUUGCACCUUUUUUUAAAAUUACAUUUUGUAAUCAUCAGAAGACUAGCGUUGGCCAUGCUUUAUCUUUUCACUUAUUCAUGGUAUUUUUUGAUGCACAUGAGUUUUUUAUUUUUUAAAUGAUUUUUUAAGUUUGUUUGUUUAUUUAGUUAGUUAGAGAGAGAGGGACAGAGAGAGGGAGAAAGAGAGAAUCCCAAGCAGGCUGUACACUGUCAUUGCAGAACCCACUCGAACUCACAAACCGUGAGAUUAAGAUCUAUUUGUCAGUCUAUUUCCCUUAUGGCUUGUGUUUAUUGGUCUUGUUUUAAAAACGUUUCCCUAGCCUCGUCAUACAGACACACACACACCACCCCCCACCACACACACACACACAGACACAAAAUCUGCCAUGUUUUGAACUUUUGCUUUUUAUAAUUAAUUCUUUCACUUACCUGGCAACUUUUUUUUUUUUUUUGUAGGAGCAAGGAAAGGUCUUUAUGGGUUUUUUUAAUUUUGUUUUUGGUAUGCUGUGAGGUGUGAGGGUAUUUUGUUCCACUGUGAUCACCACUUGUCCCAAUACCCUUGAUUAAAUUGUCCAUUCAUUCACCAAUGAUUUGAAAUGCCUUUGUUGUCCUACAUUAAGUUAUUCAUUUAUUCAUGGGCCUGUUUCUGAGCUCAGCAGCUUUUUUGGACUUUGAGAAAGUGAUAUUUGACGGGGCUGUGCCAAAAAUGUACUUAAAAAAAGAUAUACAGAUGGCCACAAUGCCAAUGGAUUGUAUUUUAUUCUAGAAUAUUACAAAAAGGAAAAGAUGCUGAUCCCAGGCUAGAUGAAAUUAUUUUUUUCUGAUGGCCCACUAUAUACUUUAUUUAUUUUAAAUUUUUUAAAAUUUAUUUUUAUUUUUUGAGAGAGCAAGUGCAAGCUGGGGAGAGGGAUAGAGGGAGAGAGAGGGAGAGAAUCUUACACAGGCUCCACAUUUAGCGCAGAACCGGACAUGGGGCUUGAUCCCACAACCAUGAGAUCAUGACCUGAGCUGAAAUUAAGAGUUGGACGCUUAACUGACUGAGCCACCCAGGUGCCCCAAUUUAUUUUUAAACAUUAAAUUUAGGGUGGCUAAAUUUAAUGAGCCUGAGCCUGAGCUGUUCUGUCAGCACAAAACCUGAUUGUGAUUCUCUUUUUCCCUCUCUCUUGUCCCCUCUCCCGUGCUCUCUCUCACAAUAAAUAAACUUUUGAAAAACACAUUAAAUGUAAACAUUUAAAUUAACAGCUAAGUUGUGUGGGUCAGUUAUCAUAGGCUAUACAACUGCAUUAUAACAAAUUACUGAAGAUGCUGUGCAUAAAAUACUUUAUCAAAUGUGGUAGUUAUAUCUAAGUUUAUUAAGUUUGUGGACAAAGCAGUUCAGCAUGUGAAAUCGACCAAAAAAAAAAGAGCUCUAUCUGGGGAACAAUUCAAGUGCUAGUAAAUGUGUUAAGCCGGGGCCCAUGUACCACCUUAAAAAAGAAACAUUACUUAGUUUUUUGAAGACCACAAAAUUGUGCUUAGCUAAGCAGUGAAAUCCAUGUGGUUAUCUGUCUUUCUUCAUACUCUGUAACUCAUCUAUUCCCCAAAGUGAUAAGAGGCAGCUCACAGUGUUAAAAACACAUUUAAAAAGAAGAACAACAUCAGCUGCCAUAUUGUAUUGCUCCCCUAUUCCAACCCCAUGCAGAAUGAUUCCCUUCUAAGUAUUUCCAGGAUCUGAUGUCUUUAAUUUCACCUCUAAAAAACAACCUUGUAUUAAGUGCAAUGUUGUAUAAUUACUCAAAGCCUAGCCAAACCUAGUCUCCUGGUGAUUAUAAAAUGUAAUUAAAAUGAAGUGUAUCUUAGAAAAGAUUUCACAAGGGCAUGCCUUGUCAGUCUUGUCAUUGUUCUGGGAGUUCUCUGUCAUACGCUAGCCAGUGGGAUUUGAAUGGAAUCAUCCAGGAUGUUAUAGCUACAAUUUCUCACUCUUAGAUUCUAAACCUUGUAGUGGUAGCACACUGAUUUAAUUUGCUUACACAGGGAACUGAUUCUGACAUUCUUUAUGCCCAAAUAACUCAACACUAUAAAGUUUGUGAGGGCAAAAAGAUAAUCAUUUGUUUGUUCAAUAACACUAAGGGUACUAACAUGUGUCAGGCCCUGGUGGGGAUACUGAACAUAUCAAGGUGACUAAGGCCCUCAGAGACAUCCUCCAGUCUACCUGGGGAGACUAACUCACAGACAUAAAAUAGCGGGCUGGGGUCUCCUGAUCCUGCAUGGUGUGCCCCAUGGACAUUUGAAACAAUGAGGGUAACAAUCUAAAAUAGUGAAAAAGGGACAGAGGAAGGAGGGAGGGACUGUUUUUCAGUCCUUGAACGGAAACUCUGAUGGUUAGGUGGAAGAUACAGUGAAGGGAUAGCUGUAUAUUUUCCAGGUUUCUUUUUUUUUUUUUCUUUUUUUAUUCAUCCUCAUUUCAGAUAGAAAUGUUUAAGGGAAACCAGGGAAGGACUGCCAGGAACAUAGCAAUUUGGUUUUCCAAGAUCAUUAUAUUUAGUACUUUAAUGUCUAGCUUUUGAGGUGGGGGUGAGGGUGCUGAAUUUAAGAAAAAGUAAACAGUUCUUAAUUAUACCAUACUGUGAGACUUGCUAUGCUCACUUCAAACAAAAAUAAUCCGGCCUUUUCCACAUUACAGAAACCUCAGUGAUUAAAUGGGAUCGAUUGUCUGAGUGGUUAUGAUUGGGGGUUAUUACAGUUAAAUAAUGCUAAGCCUUUAAGAUGAGCAGUAAACUCCAAAUGGAAUUCAUGGCUAAGAAUAUCAGUGAGGCAGUCUGUUGCUUAAUACAGUAUUUAUCACCUCCCAGGGAAGACAAAUGAUCUUUCCUGUUUGGAUAAUGUAUUAGGUUUUUUUGAAAUUCAUAUAUCACCUGAUAAAUUUUAUAUAAUACCAACACAAUAAAACAUUCCUGGAAUUGGACAUGUUGAACAACAUUGCUCCUUCAACAAAUGAACUUGCAUAAAUUACUUUAUUUAAGAAUGCCUCAUAGAUCUUUUCCUUUUUGUUUCAGCUGUGCAGUCCCUUGGGUGCAGUGGGUAGCUCAUUCCCAACACCUGACAUCUAGAUUUCUCUUAAAACAAACAAACAAACAAACAAACAAACAAACUCUUGCAGGGGUGCCUGGGGAGGUUGAGCAUCCGAGUCUUGAUUUCAGCUCAGGUCACGAUCUCACGGUUCGUGGGAUUAAGCCCCACAUCUGGCUCUGUUACAACAGUGCAGAGCCUGCUUGGGAUUCUCUCUCCCUCUCUCUGCCCCUCCCCUGUUCACUCUCUCCCUCUCUCUCAAAAUAAGUAAGUAAACUUAAAUAAAAAAUAAAACAUAAAAAAAUUCUUGUAGGUUAAAUCUAUUUGAGUAGGUUGGAUGUGAAAUGACGUAAAGUGUAAGCUGUGUGAUAAGGGCUACAGUUUUGCCCUGAGAACUGGGCAAGAGGACCCCCGCCCUGGGUCCUGGUUUCAAGAGGCCUUUCACUGAGGCUGUCCUAAUAGCUGUGCCCCUCACCACUGGGUGAGCUGUCUGCCGUGCCAAGGGGUGUGCCUGUGUCCCCUUCCAGAACACAGUUUGUAUCCCCGAGACUUGAAAUUUCCUGCCCAAACCACUCAGAGCACACUUCCAGGGCCCAUGGGGGUCUCUUUCUCAGUUUUCAUCCCAUCUUUCUGAUGGAAGACUCCUCCUGGGCUCUGGCAGGUGGGCGAGGUGCUGCUGCUGCUGGGGGUAUGAGCAGAGAAAAGGUGGUGGGCUGAGGGCCCUGGCCUGCCAACAUGUUUUUGCAUUGAACUGCACAGAGUUUGAGAAUUCUGAAUUGGGACCUGGCCUUCCAGGUGUAGAAGUGAGAUACUUACACGUUAGGAGAGGAUGUAUUUAAUGGUUUGUAGACUCAUUUACAGCUUUAAAUGGUGUAUGGAUGCAUUUGCGCCCUGAUCUCAGAUCCCACAGUGUAGGAAUGAGCCUGAGGAACUGCAUAAAAAAUGUUUAAAAAUAUGGACAGUGAGUACUCAUAAAAGCUAUGUUUGGAAGAAUAAUGGCAAAUAUUAUAUUGUGUCAAACAAGCUCUUUGUAGAGUCAAAAAUUUUCACAUGCUUUAUGAAACUGAAAAUAGGGGUGCCUGGAUGGCUCUUUUGGGGGAGCAUCUGACUUGAUUUUGGCUCAGGUCAUGAUCCCAGGGUGGUGGGAUUGAGCCCUGCAUGGGUCUCCGCACUGAGCAUGGAGACUGCUUAAGAUUCUCUCUCUCUCUCUCUCUCUCUCUCUCUCUCUCUCUCUCUCUCUCUGUCUCUCUCUCUCUCCCUGCCUCCUCCCUUGCUCUCAUGCAUACAGGCUAUCUCUCUAAAAGAAACAAACAAAUAAAUAAGAAACUGAAAAUAAUCAGUUGAAAUUUGAAAAUCUUAUCUUAGUUCCCUUCCUCCAUUUGUAGAAGAUGCCCUAUGUAAUGGGCAUGCAUCCUUUUUUUCCCCCACUGAGUAUUCGAUUGGCAGAAAGUUCUAGAGAAAAGGAAUAGGUCUUCAUUUGAUAAAAACCAGGUUCAGUGUACUCAGAGAACACUUGACAUUAAGGAAUACAAUGGUGAGUUAUUAUGGCAGAUGAGACAUGAACAAGAAAUAAUUUCCCUCUUGUCCUUGAUGAUGUCUAGUAACUUCAGAGAAAAGGUUCAUUAUUGCUACUCUCUAUUCCUUUCUUUUCAUCCCAGCUGCAAAGUCACAUUCUGAGCCCAGCCUGUUCAGGCUAGCUUUUCAGUCAUCUCUGAGAUUCCAGUUGCAUUCAUCCUGCAAUGUUAAGUGCCUUCUCUGGAAAGUCCCAGGGGUGUAAAGAUGUCCGGACCAUGAGGAAGCCCUCAAGUGGCUCAAAGACAGGAGAAAACAGACAGGUGUGUGUUCACACUUGGCUAUUUUUACAGCCAAUAGGAACACAACCAACUAGAAUUGGAGGAUGACCAGGGUCUGUGGUGAAGAGCAAGAGAAAGAACCAGAGAAGAGGGGACACUGUUGUGGUUCUAAUUUGCAUUUCCUUAAGGACUAAUGAAGUUGAGCUGCUUUUCUAAUGUUUAUUGGUCACUUGGAGAACCUCUUUUUGAAGUGUCUCUUCAAAAUCUUUGGUUCACUUUUUCUAUUGGGUGAUCUGUCUUUUCUUACCGCUUUGUACACAUUCUGUAUAUAUUCCAGAUAUGAAGGACAGGCACCACUUUGACAUACCUUCCAAGGAAAGAGAAAACCAUCGCAAUGCCUUUGGCAGAAUUAAUCUGUGCAUCUUGUGUUGGGGAAGAGUAGGAGGUGGUGUGACUUUAAGAUCAUGGAUGAGGAAGGGAGCCAGCCUGAUGUUCUGCUGGUAAGCAACUGGAUGGCUCUGCUGCUUCUUAAAAUACUGAAAUAAUUCUAUGCCUCUUGGAAAGGAGCUGCUGCCCUGAGCCCUCAGGGCCUUUCCCUUCUUCUCUUCCUCUCUCCUGUCCUCCCCUCUGUUUCCCUUCCCCCCUCCCUUCCUCCUUCCCUCCUCCAGUCUAUCUGCACUGAAUACUUCCCAUUGGCAUAGAUAGCCCUGAAUAAGAGUUAAAAACAAACACCAGGAAGCAUCCACAGGUAUAUUUCUUCAGGCACCUUUUUAAGAACCUCAUCUUAUGAUAACGCUAGAAGACGAAGAUUAUUGUUAUCCCCUUUUGUCCGAUGACAAAACUGAGAACCUGAGAGAUUAGGCAAUUUUCUCAAGGUCACAUAGAAGUAGGUAGCAGCGAAUGCUAGGAAUCUAGCCCAGGAAGUUCACUCAUGGAUGCCAUGCACUUAACCACUGUCACCGCUGUGCUGUGCUGCCCGGGAGCAUGGAGAUUGGCAUCAACCUGAAUGGCACUGCUGGUAGUUACAGAAGGACAGGGAGGGGAACCAUGGCUGUCAGUGUUCAGUCAGGAAAGCAGAAACCACUCUGCCUAUCUUAAAGAGGGUGUAUUUGCAUUUUUUAAUGUUUAUUUAUUUUAGAGAAAGAGAGAGACAGAGACAGAGACAGAGACAGAGACAGAGACAGAGACAGAGUGUGAGCAGGGGAGGGGCAGAGAGAGGGAGACACAGAAUCUGAAGUAGGCUCCAGGCUCCUAGCUGUCCGCACAGAGCCCAAUGUGGGGCUCGAACUCACGAACUGCGAGAUCAUGACCUGAGCCGAAGUCAGAUGCUCAACUGAUUGGGCCACCCAGGUGCCCCAUAAAGAGGGUGUGUUUAAUGCAGAGAAUUGGUUCUAAAGGUAUCGGAACCAAUUGGCAGAAGGAGCAAAGAGGGGACGAUGGCACUCAGAGUUCUGUAACUUCAGAAAGCUGCUAUUGCUAGCAAAGGAGGAAAUGUGUGGACCCGGAGUCCGCAGAAACACUUGCCCCUGUGGCUGCUGCCUGACUGGGACUCCAGGAGCCACAGUCCUGCUGAUGCUUCUGGAGUCUGUGGGCACCGGUGGCCCUAUGCCUCUGCUGCUGUCGCCUCUGCCCCCGCUGUUGCAGGAGCCCACUGUUGACUGCUGGAGCCACCGUUAGGAGCAGGAACAGCUGGCAAAAUCUGGAGCAGACUUUUACCUGCCUCCUGCCCAAGAAUGCCUUCCACUGACAGAAUCCAGAACUCAGAUGGCAAGGGAGCCCGGAAGAUGUUGUCUGUGGCCUUGACAUUGAACAUGCUAGAAGGUCAGAAUGAAGCUGAGAGCCAAAGCGUAUCCUACAUACUCAGUAUUGCCCAAAGAGAUGUGGGUACAGGGAAGGAAAAAAAAGCUUAUUUCGUUGAAUCUAAGAUACAAUUGAUUGUAAGAUGUACUACCAUGCUAUAUACCAUUAAGAGAGAAAAAUGCUGUGUAAAUAUGAGGUACACUCUACUUCUAGAGAUGUUAAAGCUUGAAAAAAAGUCCCUCUUAAAACUGAUGCCUUAGGGUAAAUGCCUGCCCCAUGCUUGCCUGUAGUCUAAUGGGGUGGAUCCCUAUAGAGAUCUCAUCAUCAUACAAUCCAAAUGACGUGACAGGUCACUCCAUGACCUGGAUAAGAACAGUGGUUUAGGACGUUUUCCAAAGGAGUCUGAACUAAGUCUUAAAAGACGAAUCUGAGUUUCUCAGGAAAUGGUUUUCCAGGCAAAAAUCUUUUUUCUGAGAGCACAAAGGCUGGAUGAAGUUGGGUGUGUCUGGGAACUUGAAGGGGUUUAGAAUGACUGGAGGAUUGUGAGGGUUCAGUCACGCAGGAGCUCCAUGUGACGCACUUGGACAUUUUCCCACAGGCUGACAGCCGCUGCUGCCGAAGGGCCUUAAAGCACCAUCAUAAGUCCAUUUGAAAUUUGACUCAGGAUCGCAAUUCAGUUGGCUCCCGCUGGUGUGGCUGUAGCUGUUAACUAUUGAAAUGCGUCCUUACUUGGCAAUGGCUCCAGGCCCUCCUGGCAGCCUCAUCCACCCCAGCCCCUACCCUGGGCCCCUGCAGAUCCAGCAGCUAAGAAGUAGUGCCUGUUGGAACGUUUAGCUAAGCUACCCCAUGGUGCUGUUGCCUCGACAUCCAUUUUGUUUGGCCAAGCAGCCCGUGGGGACCUUCAGUUGACCCUCACCCCUCACGCAGGCACAUGCCCUGGAUAACAGCCCACAGGAUCACAGACACAUGUAAGUUCCUGAUCGGAUUUCCCCAGCAGCCCUUAUCGAGGAACGGUCGCCCUCGCCCCUCAGGGUGCCCCUUAGAUAAACCUCCUCGAGGCUUAUCGCAACUCUGCCCUUUUUAGUUUGAAGUGACCAAUUUGGCCUUAGCCUGGGAUCCCCAAAGCGCUCCACCCACAGGGCCUAAUGAAGGCAUGUGCCCAGGUCCUGCCUCUUUCUCUGUGUGCUCUGCCUUGACCUCCCCAUGUCCUGCUCUGAGGCAUUGCCGAGCACGUCCUCCACGACCUCCAUGCUGGGCAAGUAAGAAACUUCUCCAUUUCAAUUUCUCCUGCAGUCGUUUGUUGAACCAUGGCUCACAAUCUACCACCCUGUGUUCUACUUCACAAAUGUUAUUUUAACCAAGUCAUAACAGGCUGGCUCUUUGAUAAUUUAAAUCUUGUUAAAUAUUUUGAAUGUCAUCCCUGGGUUCGCUACAAAAGUUUAAUGUUUAGUUUUGUUAGUUCUUCAGUUUGCCUUACUGAAAGAUUCAAUGGUGUGUCUAAGCCGGCGGUCCUCAAAAUGUGGUCCUAAGUCCGACGGCAUUAGCAUCACCUGGAAGCUUGUUGGAACUACAUAUUUCAGGGCCACCUGGAUGGCUCAGUUGGUUAAGUGUCUGACUCUCGAUUUCAGCUCAGGUCAUGAUCUCAUGGUCUGUGAGUUCAAGCCCCACAUUGGGCUCUGCGCUGACAGUGUGCAGUCUGCUUGGGAUUCUCUCUCUCCCUCUCUUUCUCUCUGCCCUUCCCCUCCUCUCAAAAUAAAUAAACUUAAAAAAAAAAAGAAAUACACAUUUCAGACCAUCCAAGAGCUACUGAAACACACUCAAGGGAUAGAGCCCACUCAUCUGUGUUUAAACAAUUUUUUUUAAUGUUUUAUUUUAUUUUUGAGACAGAGAGAGACAGAGCAUGAGUGGGGGAGGGUUAGAGAGAGAGGGAGACACAGAAUCCGAAGCAGGCUCCAGGCUCUGAGCUGUCAGCACAGAGCCCGACGCGGGGCUCGAACUCACAGACAGUGAGAUCGUGACCUGGGCCAAAGUCAGAAGCGCAACCGACUGAGCCACCCAGGCGCCCCUCACUCAUCUGUGUUUAAACCAGGCUUCCAGGAGAUUCUUGCUUUCAUUAAACAUCCGAGUAAGCCACCCUUGAACCGUUGGCUAUAAUUAAUCAAAGGCAUACAAACUUCUGUAUCCUAGUAGUCUAACCAAGGGGUCAGGGUGGAUCUGAUCACUUUGAGGAUGUAGCAUGGAAACACUACUUGGAUGAACAGUUAUUACAUUUCAGUAGAAUGCUAUGCAGUAGAAUGUUUUGGGAAAGGUCUGAAGGGUUUUGGAGCUGUGUUACUCAAGUCUUUAAUUUUCUAUACUUUGUGAGUCUUUGACAUCUUUGGGCCUUGUGGACCCGCAGGGAGGGCCUCCCAGAUUAGCUAAUUCCUAGAAAUAGUAAAUGACUUGCCUUGUAGCGUGCCUUUGAAAUGCAAACCAACCCGGGGCACCUGGGUGGUUUAGGUGAGCGGUUGAGCAGCAGACUCGGUUUUGGCUGAGGUCGUGAUCUUGCGGUUCAUGGUUUUGAGUCCCUCAUCGGGCUCCACGCUGGCAGUGAGGAGCAUGCUUGGGAUUCUCUCUCUCUCUCCCCUCUCUGCCCCUCCCCCAUUUAAGAAAAAGAGAGAGAGAGAG